rnacentral:lncRNA from 1 species
GGAACAUUCAGAAGGACCUGAUGCCGCCGUCCCACUUCACCUCCGCCGUCCAGACGUCCUCGUCCGUCCGCCGGGUCCAGACCUCCGCGUCUGUCCGCGGGGUCCACAACCAGCCGGCCGCGGAGUCCUGGAGCUCCGCCGCCGGUCCCGGGGUCUCAAAUCCGGCCGCGGCGUGGCUCGCCGUGUCCCGGGCCCAGGGGGAAGUUCUGGAACUCCGGAAGGAGAACCAAAGGCUGAUGAUGCUACAGGGAGACUCUUUGAGAGGAAGGAGCCGGUCUACAGACUCCAAUGGAAGGUAGCCAUCACAAUAAUCCGGUUAUUAGCUAGGUUAGAACGAUUGUUAUCACUAUGACGUUUGUCUUGGUGCGCACCUACGAUAAAAUGAACACACACACACACACACACACACACACACACACACACACACACACACACACACACACACACACACACACACACACACACACACACACACACACACCAGAGAGAAUGGUUCACCACUGAACAUUACGAAACCCCUCUAAACAUUGAACUCAACAUAUUAGAUCCUGGGUUAAUGGUAUAAUAAUGGUGCAGUGUUAGCAACUGGGAAAUAAGAACGUGUUACUCAUUCAUUAAACAUUUACACCAGUAGGCCUACAUUUAAACUGGUUUCCCUCCCCCAGGUUUGUGGAGGGCGGAGGUGGUGGAGGUGGGGGAGGUGAGGGGUGGAUGAGGCUGGAGGCGGAGUGGCGUGUGCGGGUGGAGACGCAGCGGGUGGAGGCGGAGAGGCUCCGGGGUCAGCUGGAGGCCCUGAAGGAGAGCGAGGAGAGACAGCGGGGCGAGCUACGAGACAAGGACAGCACCCUCCACAGACAGGGUGCUGAGCUGGAGACCCUACGCUGUGAACUGGGUCAGACCCGGUCCAGGCUGGACCAGGUCAGACUGGAGCUCCAGCAGAGCCUCCAGGAGAACCAGAAGAUAUCCUCACAGCUGGUAACCAUGGAGAAGGAGUCAGAGGAGGAGAUCAGGAGGCUGAGGAAGGAGGAGGCGUGGUGCCGAGAGGAGGCGCACACGCUCCUCCGGGGGGCUGAGAGGAGCAGGGAGGAGGAGGAGGAGGAGGCGAAGAGGAGGAACAUCGACCUGACCACCCAGAUGGAGAAUCUACAGAAAACCCACCAGACAGAGGUCUGUCUGUCUGGUUUAGGCAGAGCAAGUAUUUUCAUAGGCCAAGUUCGUUUGAGGGCGGAGUCAGAAUGUUUAUGGGUGGGUCUUGGGAAGUCAUGGUCUUGAAUAUUCCGUGAGGGCGGAGCCAUGAUGUUAGUGGGCGGAGCCAUGUGGUUAGUGGGCGGAGCCAUGCGGUUAGUGGGCGGAGCCACAGUGGUUGUGGGCGUUGCCCUUCACCG